GAUGAACGCUAGCGGGAGGCCUAACACAUGCAAGCCGAGCGGUAUUGUUUCUUCGGAAAUGAGAGAGCGGCGUACGGGUGCGGAACACGUGUGCAACCUGCCUUUAUCUGGGGGAUAGCCUUUCGAAAGGAAGAUUAAUACUCCAUAAUAUAUUGAACGGCAUCGUUUAAUAUUGAAAGCUCCGGCGGAUAGAGAUGGGCACGCGCAAGAUUAGCUAGUUGGUGAGGUAACGGCUCACCAAGGCGAUGAUCUUUAGGGGGCCUGAGAGGGUGAUCCCCCACACUGGUACUGAGACACGGACCAGACUCCUACGGGAGGCAGCAGUGAGGAAUAUUGGUCAAUGGGUGCAAGCCUGAACCAGCCAUCUCGCGUGAAGGACGACUGCCCUAUGGGUUGUAAACUUCUUUUGUAUAGGGAUAAACCUACCCUCGUGAGGGUAGCUGAAGGUACUAUACGAAUAAGCACCGGCUAACUCCGUGCCAGCAGCCGCGGUAAUACGGAGGGUGCAAGCGUUAUCCGGAUUUAUUGGGUUUAAAGGGUCCGUAGGCGGACUUAUAAGUCAGUGGUGAAAGCCUGUCGCUUAACGAUAGAACUGCCAUUGAUACUGUAAGUCUUGAGUAUAUUUGAGGUAGCUGGAAUAAGUAGUGUAGCGGUGAAAUGCAUAGAUAUUACUUAGAACACCAAUUGCGAAGGCAGGUUACCAAGAUAUAACUGACGCUGAGGGACGAAAGCGUGGGGAGCGAACAGGAUUAGAUACCCUGGUAGUCCACGCCGUAAACGAUGCUAACUCGUUUUUGGGCUUUAGGGUUCAGAGACCAAGCGAAAGUGAUAAGUUAGCCACCUGGGGAGUACGCUCGCAAGAGCGAAACUCAAAGGAAUUGACGGGGGCCCGCACAAGCGGUGGAUUAUGUGGUUUAAUUCGAUGAUACGCGAGGAACCUUACCAAGACUUAAAUGGGAAUUGACAGCUUUAGAAAUAGAGCUUUCUUCGGACAAUUUUCAAGGUGCUGCAUGGUUGUCGUCAGCUCGUGCCGUGAGGUGUUAGGUUAAGUCCUGCAACGAGCGCAACCCCUGUCACUAGUUGCCAUCAUUCAGUUGGGGACUCUAGUGAGACUGCCUACGCAAGUAGAGAGGAAGGUGGGGAUGACGUCAAAUCAUCACGGCCCUUACGUCUUGGGCCACACACGUAAUACAAUGGCCGGUACAGAGGGCAGCUACACAGCGAUGUGAUGCAAAUCUCGAAAGCCGGUCUCAGUUCGGAUUGGAGUCUGCAACUCGACUCUAUGAAGCUGGAAUCGCUAGUAAUCGCGCAUCAGCCAUGGCGCGGUGAAUACGUUCCCGGGCCU
rnacentral:rRNA from 1 species